rnacentral:rRNA from 1 species
AUAUCGGGCUCUUUGAGGUUGGUAAUUGGGAUUGAGUACAAUUCUAAAUUCCUUUACCGAGGAUCCAUUGAGGGCAAGGUCUUGUGCCAGCAGCCGCGGUAAUACAGAGGGUCAUCCGCGGUAAGACAGAGGAUGCAAGCGUUAUCCGGAAUGAUUGGGCGUAAAGGCGUCUGUAGGUGGCUUUUCAAGUCCGCCGUCAAAUUCCCAGGGCCUCUAAACCAGGCGGUGGAAGGCUCAACCCUGGACAGGCGGUGGAAACUACCAAGCUGGAGUACCGUUAGGGGCAGAGGGAAAUUUCCGGUUGGAGCGGUGAAAUUGCAUUGAGAUCGGAAAGAACACCAAAGGGCGAAAGCACUCUGCUGGGGCCGACACUCUCACACUGAGAGACGAAAGCUAGGGGAGCAAAUGGGAUUAAUAGACACCCCUGUAGUCCUAGCCGUAAACGAUGGAAACAAGGUGCUGUGCGACUCGACCCGUGCAGUGCUGUAGCUAACGCGUUAAGUAGUGGAAUUCCAGGUGGAGCGGUGAAAUGCGUAGAGAUCAGAAGGAACAUCCUGGCGAAGGCAGCCAUCUGGCCUAUACUGACGCUGAGGUUCGAAAGCAUGGGGAGCGAACAGGAUUAGAUACCCUGGUAGUCCAUGCCGUAAACGAUGAGUGUUCGCCCUUGGUCUGUCUACGCUACGCUACGCGGAUCAGGGGCCCAGCUAACGCGUGAAAUCCCGGCUUGGGGAAGUACGGUCGCAAGGAUCGAAACUCAAGGAAUUGCCGGGGGCCCGCACAAGCGGUGGAGCAUGUGGUUUAAUUCGAUGCAAAGCGAAGAACCUUACCAGGGCUUGACAUGCCGCGAAACCUCUUGAAAGAGAGGGGUUGCCCUUCGGGAACGCGGACACAGGUGGUGCAUGGCUGUCGACAGCUCGUGUCGUGAGAUGUUUGGUCAAGUCCUAUAACGAGCGAAACCCUCGUUUUGUGUUGCUGAGACAUGCGCCUAAGGAGAAAUAGCCGAGGAGCCGAGUGACGUGCCAGCGCUACUACUUGAUUGAGUGCCAGCACGUAGCUGUGCUUUCCGCAAGAAUUUCACCAUUGGGAGCCUCGAAGCACUUUCACGUGUGAACCGAAGUCGUCUUGUCCUUCCUUUCUCAUUUCAGUCCUCGCCUUUUUCAUCUUCCGUAGGGGCCUUUAGUCUUUUGAUUAGAGUAGAGGUCGCGAGAGAGCAGAGCGUACCGCCC